CUAUAGUUAGGUAUUACUAACAGGUUGUGUCUAUAGGUAGGUAUUACUAACAGGUUGUGUCUAUAGGUAGGUGAUCCUAACAGGUUGUGUCUAGAGGUAGGUGAUCCUAACAGGUUGUGUCUAUAGGUAGGUGAUCCUAACAGGUUGUGUCUAUAGGUAGGUGAUCCUAACAGGUUGUGUCUAGAGGUAGGUGAUCCUAACAGGUUGUGUCUAGAGGUAGGUGAUCCUAACAGGUUGUGUCUAGAGGUAGGUGAUCCUAACAGGUUGUGUCUAUAGGUAGGUGAUCCUAACAGGUUGUGUCUAGAGGUAGGUGAUCCUAACAGGUUGUGUCUAUAGGUAGGUGAUCCUAACAGGUUGUGUCUAUAGGUAGGUGAUCCUAACAGGUUGUGUCUAGAGGUAGGUGAUCCUAACAGGUUGUGUAUGUAGGUAGGUGAUACUAACAGGUUGUGUCUGUAGGUAGGUGAUACUAACAGGUUGUGUAUGUAGGUAGGUAUUACUAACAGGUUGUGUCUAUAGGUAGGUGAUCCUAACAGGUUGUGUCUAUAGGUAGGUGAUCCUAACAGGUUGUGUCUAUAGGUAGGUGAUCCUAACAGGUUGUGUCUAUAGGUAGGUGAUCCUAACAGGUUGUGUCUAGAGGUAGGUGAUCCUAACAGGUUGUGUCUAUAGGUAGGUGAUCCUAACAGGUUGUGUCUAGAGGUAGGUGAUCCUAACAGGUUGUGUCUAUAGGUAGGUGAUCCUAACAGGUUGUGUCUAUAGGUAGGUGAUCCUAACAGGUUGUGUCUAGAGGUAGGUGAUCCUAACAGGUUGUGUCUAUAGGUAGGUGAUCCUAACAGGUUGUGUCUAGAGGUAGGUGAUCCUAACAGGUUGUGUCUAUAGGUAGGUGAUCCUAACAGGUUGUGUCUAUAGGUAGGUGAUCCUAACAGGUUGUGUCUAGAGGUAGGUGAUCCUAACAGGUUGUGUCUAGAGGUAGGUGAUCCUAACAGGUUGUGUCUAUAGGUAGGUGAUCCUAACAGGUUGUGUCUAGAGGUAGGUGAUCCUAACAGGUUGUGUCUAGAGGUAGGUGAUCCUAACAGGUUGUGUCUAGAGGUAGGUGAUCCUAACAGGUUGUGUCUAGAGGUAGGUAUUACUAACAGGUUGUGUCUAUAGGUAGGUAUUACUAACAGGUUGUGUCUAGAGGUAGGUAUUACUAACAGGUUGUGUCUAUAGGUAGGUGAUCCUAACAGGUUGUGUAUGUAGGUAGGUGAUACUAACAGGUUGUGUCUAUAGGUAGGUGAUCCUAACAGGUUGUGUCUAUAGGUAGGUAUUACUAACAGG